UGGGGAAUCUUGCGCAAUGGGCGAAAGCCUGACGCAGCAACGCCGCGUGGGGGAUGAAGGCCUUCGGGUUGUAAACCCCUUCAGUCAGGGAGCGAACAUGACGGUACCUGCAGAAGAAGCCCCGCCAACUACGUGCCAGCAGCCGCGGUAACACGUAGGGGGCGGAGCGUUGUCCGGCAUUUAUUGGGCGUAAAGAGCUCGUAGGCGGUUCGGUAAGUCGGGUGUGAAACCUCCAGGCUCAACCUGGAGACGCCACCUGAUACUGCCGUGACUAGAGUCCGGUAGGGGAGCGUGGAAUUCCUGGUGUAGCGGUGAAAUGCGCAGAUAUCAGGAGGAACACCAGCGGCGAAGGCGGCGCUCUGGGCCGGAACUGACGCUGAGGAGCGAGAGCGUGGGUAGCAAAACA
rnacentral:rRNA from 1 species